rnacentral:piRNA from 1 species
UUGAAAAUAAUUACAGGUGACAU